UACGGAGGGGGCUAGCGUUGUUCGGAAUUACUGGGCGUAAAGCGCACGUAGGCGGAUGGACAAGUCAGAGGUGAAAUCCCAGGGUUCAACCUUGGAACGGCCUUUGAAACUUUCCAUCUUGAGGUCGAGAGAGGUGAGUGGAACUCCGAGUGUAGAGGUGAAAUUCGUAGAUAUUCGGAGGAACACCAGUGGCGAAGGCGGCUCACUGGCUCGAUACUGACGCUGAGGUGCGAAAGCGUGGGGAGCAAACAGGAUUAGAAACCCCAGUAGU
rnacentral:rRNA from 1 species